rnacentral:rRNA from 1 species
AGAGUUUGAUCCUGGCUCAGGAUGAACGCUGGCGGUAUGCUUAAUACAUGCAAGUCGUACGAGAGCUUUUAGCUCUAGUGGCGGACGGGUGAGUAACACGUGAGAAUCUGCCCUUAGGAGGAGGAUAACAGCUGGAAACGGUUGCUAAUACUCCAUAUGCCGAGAGGUGAAAGGAAGUAUCUGCCUAAGGAGGAGCUCGCGUCUGAUUAGCUAGUUGGUAGGGUAAUAGCCUACCAAGGCGACGAUCAGUAGCUGGUUUGAGAGGAUGAUCAGCCACACUGGGACUGAGACACGGCCCAGACUCCUACGGGAGGCAGCAGUAGGGAAUUUUCCGCAAUGGGCGAAAGCCUGACGGAGCAAUACCGCGUGAGGGAUGACGGCCUGUGGGUUGUAAACCUCUUUUCUCAAGGAAGAAGUUCUGACGGUACUUGAGGAAUAAGCAUCGGCUAACUCUGUGCCAGCAGCCGCGGUAAUACAGAGGAUGCAAGCGUUAUCCGGAAUCACUGGGCAUAAAGCGUCUGUAGGUUGUUUAGUAAGUCUGCUGUUAAAGACUGGGGCUCAACCCCAGAAAAGCAGUGGAAACUGCUAGACUUGAGUGUGGUAGAGGUAGAGGGAAUUCCUAGUGUAGCGGUGAAAUGCGUAGAUAUUAGGAAGAACACCAAUGGCGAAGGCACUCUACUGGGCCAUAACUGACACUGAGAGACGACAGCUAGGGGAGCAAAUGGGAUUAGAUACCCCAGUAGUCCUAGCCGUAAACGAUGGAUACUAGAU